GGGUUAUGUGAAUUGUGGAGAUUGCGGAGCCUUCAACAGCAUUCAUAGAGUAACCACAGGGGUCAAAGUCGAAAUCACAUAUGUUUGAUUCUGGAAGAAUCUUCCGAAUGCCUGAAACUUCAGUCAUCUCAGCAGCAGUGCUAGAUUGAGUCUUGAAAAACACGGAUGCCUUUUUCUUGUCCAAGUUAGUCAUGCACAUCUCCAGAGUAUAAACUGGAUUCACAUUAUUGGCAUCGGCAGGUUCAGCUGAAGCAGAAUAGACAUGCCAGUUCUGUUGUUUAUCAGCAUUGCCCAUCACAUAUGAAUUGCUGCCUGCACCAAGCUUGCCGAAAUAUGUGUCAAGUACAGCCACUUCUUCGGAGAAGUGGCGAUGUGGGAAUGGCUGAGCUCCAGGAAAGAUGAAACUACCGCGUGUGUACCUCACAGACUUCACUUUCAGGUUAAGUGAGUCAGCUAACUUAAGAAUGGGUGGGAUCGAGAGCAGCAGUUUUGUGGUGCCACAAGUUUUGAUUAUGAUCUUGUAAGCGUAGACAAAAAGGCUGGACUCUGAAAGGACAUAAGAGUCCACUUCAUCAUUUGCCAAUGAAGACACUAUGGUGCAUGCAGCAGGUGUCAGAAUUUCAUCCAAUUGAUCUUUGGAGAGGGACCGUAAGCCACAGCCAGGGCCAUAAGAGUUUCCUAACUCGAAAAAGCAAAUCUCAAGUCUCUUUUCGUAACCUUCAAAUCCGAUGGCAGAAACCGGCAAUUCCAUCUUGCUUGAAAGAGUGUGUUAAGGAAGGAUUACUUUUUGGAGAGCGUAACGAGGAUGAGGGAUGAAGAAAAAGUGUUGAGAAGUACAGUAUUCUAAAUUUAAACUACUUCUUACUAGAACCACCUCUGGUGGUUUAUUCUAAAACACGGGAAAUCUCAGGAUGGCUUGCGAGUGCAGUUGGAGUAUGCAGCUGAUCUGAAUUUCUUGAUUCCACCGUUUGGUCGA
rnacentral:misc_RNA from 1 species